ensembl:lncRNA
GUAGAAUUCUGACUGCUACAGAUUUCACCGUGGGAGACUUUAAAAGAAAAUCCGUAUCCAAUUUGGUAGCACUUUAUUAUAUCAUCAGUUACCUAUAAGCAUGCUUUAUUGCUUUAUUUAUCAUAUGCUUCCAUAUUGUUCCCAUUUCAGGAACAGCAUUUUAAAAUGGGAAUUUUUCUAAGUAUAUGAGUUGUUAAAGCAUGCUAUAGUUUAUCCUAUCUUUUCCACAGGAAUAUAAGAAGGAGACAGUGUGUUUUACAUUACUGUGUUCUUGCAGUGAGUUUACUAGUCUUCAUGAAGAAUGUCUUGAUGAAAUUAAAUAGGUGGAAAAAAAUUUCAUGGAGUGUGCAAAUGAAAUAGCCAGGAAUAAAUCCAUUUAUGCAAGACUCACACUGAGAGGCUGAUGAGCUUUGACAAUUGGAAUAAAUUAUUUUGGCUAGAAGGAGAUUCCAUCUUUUCAAGACAGGACAGCAUUGAACCUUACAGUAGUUUUCAGUUUGCAACCGAACAAAACAGCUUUAUGGAAAUGACCGGGUAACCUUGUCCAUAGUGACCUUGUAUCUGUGCCAUAUAAGCAUGCUCUCCUGCACUGUGUGCUUUCUACCAGUUCACGCCACAUAAUUGCAGCUGAUGAAGUGAUGUCUUCUUUGGCUGAGCAGCAUGGUGAUUGUUGCUGGCUGACAUGUGGUACAUGACUGAAGGCCCAACACCACAUAGCCUAAGUCUGAACAGCUCUACUCUGAAAGUCCCAAGUGAGGGUCUGUAGCUAAGCAUCAUACCUAGUAACUAAAGAGAGACAAGGCUCUCUCCCCAAGACCUCCUGUGCAAAUCUGGCAAUUUAUUUCCUUGAUUUUUUUACCUUCUUCUACAUUGACUAGCAAUGCUACUUUCCUUUCAGCUAGUGGCCUUUUGUUUAGAUUGGCUCUGUCUGGGCUAAAAAUAUUCUCUUGCUGUAUAUUGUACACUGCCUUAAGGCAUUACUGUGAUGCACACAAAUAAUUAUAAAAAAUAUUUCAGUCUUAAAGGAUAGUUUUGGUCAUAGGCGGUAGUAAUAUCUAUAUUUAUCAUCCUGUAGUCUCAACAUUUCUUGGUGCAGUCUGCCUCUGAUUUUUGGUGCUUGAUGUUCCCCAUCAUUUACAUUGGUUUUACUGUAUAAUUGUUUCUGCUUUAUUCUCAGAGGAGAAUUGAACUCCCUUUAUGUGUACAUUCCUCCCUUUAAUAUUACUCCUUCCUUAAAAUAACCAAACAGUUCCUUCCUCAGAUCCAAACUCUGCAAAAGAAUCUGCAGAAAAAGUGGUAUAUUCUAAAAUGGUACAUUUAUUAGUUUAGAAUUAGAUGUACACACACAUACAUGUCCAUACAUAGUAUAGUAGCAUUCUUAGAACUAAGUUUUCAUGAAAAUAGAUUGUCAGUAUUUCACGACUGAAUGGUAUUAUCCUUUUCAAUUGUUAAUACUAUUGUUUGACAAGUAUUUUUGAAGUAUGACAACAUUGUACUGUUUUUUUUUCCAGCCCCCUGCAAAUAAGUCAUCCUCUCCGAUGACAUCAAGUUAACUGUGGGCCGACAGAUAUGGAACCACAGGCUGGAGAAAGUCCUUCAGUUAUACAUUCAGAACAAAUGUUAUAAUGUGCAAUGCAGUCAACAGCUCCUUUUUAAAGAAAAACAGUGAUUAGCUAGUACCAGGUUGUUAAUACUAGCAGUGUUCUAUUGCAGUUAUAUAAGUUAAUUACUAGUAAAGGAAAUGACUCUCAUAAAUGGGGUAACAAAAAGAAUAGACAUAUUUUCUGAGGUUAGCUCAAUAUUUGAGAUAGGAAUCCCAGCUUAGGUGAUACAAUCUCUCAUUUAUAGGACAAUAAAUCCACACCAGCGUAGAUGUAAUCGUUGGGGUCUGGCUUAUAUGUAGGAAAUUAAAAGUAAAUUCUAUCCAUUUAUCUUAAUCACAGAUAGCUUGCUGCCUUCUCCAGAUGUAGGAAGCAUAGCCUACACUCAAAAGAAAAGCUUUCCAGGAGCCCGGAAAGAGUGAUGUUUUCCAUCCAUUUCACUUUGCUGCUGAUCCAUGUGAUAUUGUUGUAAAUGGUUGUCCAUAGGUAUCACACGAUUCUUUGUCAACAACACCAAACUGUCUGCUGUCCUAAUGAGCUUUUUAAUCCCUCGAUGCACUGUGCUGUGUGUGCUGACCUGAGAUGAAGGAAGCCAGACAUUUAAAAGUGCAGAGAACCCAGCUAUCUGCACACAUCCUUGCUCUGCAUACAUCUUGCUUGGGCAGUGCAAUUAGCAAGCAAUAAGGUGGCAGUGGAUGGAGUAAAAGGGCUGCAUUGUUGUGUUAUGUUUCUCAGGAGGCUGACAGCCGUUACAGUCACCCAUGCCCUACUGAGCACUCUGAAGCUGGGCAUGCCUCCAAGAGAAGGGGGUGGCACACAGCCCCAUCCCCUUCCCAGCAUGGGCUGCCGGCCCAGCUGGUCUCCAACUCAAAGUGGGGCCAACAGCAGUCGUUACAGUGUGGUCGUUACAGCCCUACUGGAUGGUCAUGGAGCUCCUGGCCUUCAAGCCCUGUGAGGAGGAUGGAGGAAGUCCCAUAGCUGUGAGUCCAGACAAGGUGAGUCUGACAAUAAUUUGCGGACUGGGAGCUGCUCCUCACUGGCAUGCUUUGGGAUUCUGAAGAUGUGAAACCACCAUGGUGCUUGCUGGUGAUUGGUGAUUGCUGAGGAAAAACAGCUAGCUGUAAGGAAAUUGCUCCUGUUGUACAGAAAAAGGACCCAAGUCACAAGUGAUAGAAAAAUGAGUAACAGAAGUGCACCCUGGAUGUCAGUAGAGAGUGGACUGUGAUAUUCUUAUCAACUUAUAUUUUCCUUUAAACAUUUUAGUGUGUGGCUUAUGAACUCAGAGAAUCCGAUGGAGAGCUUAUUUGAAAACUCCUGUACCUCAGCAAAGCAUGGUCCAUCAGUAUAUGAAAUCCUAAGUCUUCGUCAGCCCCAAAGGACUUUUCUUUAUGAAUAGUGAGUGAUGCAUUUCUCACAGGUGACAGAAUGGAUACAAGGCUUAAAGAGGAGUUGCAGUGAUUAAGAGCUGACCUGAAGAAUGGGUGUAAGGUUCAUAUUUCAAACAUAGAUGUCAGUGUGGAAAAGGAAUAAGAACAUGAUGAGAAUAAAAAACAAGGCUAGAGUCAAGGCUGGCGCUGCUGAUGGAACAGAUGGAAAAGGUGGCAGAUGAAAAGAGCUAGGAUCAAGGCUGACUGUUGCAGUCUAAAGCAAAAAUAUACAACACAUUUGAAUUAGCUGUACUCCACAGGGGAAAUAUGGAUGGUAAAAUCAAAAUAACAUGAGAGGAGAAAAGAUUCCAAUGGCAAUGCUUUGGAGAAACAGAUGGAAAGCCAGGCAAGGAUAAAGACAGCAAGAAAGAAGAGAGGUGAAAUGUAAGUAGAAAAUAAUUAGAACAAGAAUGAGAAAUAUAUUCCCUGGAACUGAGAUGAAGUGAUGGACAUUUUUUAUCCCACUGAAACAAUGGGAAGGUCUUGGCACUUCUAAAGAGAAGACAUUGCCAGACAAGAACUAUAGGUUUUGUAUAUAUAGUCUAAUCUGAAAGGAUUCCUUUUUUUUUUUUUUUUUUCUCCCUGGAAUCUUAAUAAUGCCAUUUGCUAUAAUCUCAGUAGGAAAAACUGAAGUAAUCUGUAGCGGAUUUUCUACACACAUAGAUAGCUCUACAUGCAUGGGAUUUUAUCUGCAAAAUAAAUUUAACAUUUCUUGCAAAUAGCUUGCAAGUAACUCACAUAAAUAUAAUGAAUAAUUCCCAAUUCACUAUAAAUUCCUCAUAUUUGUUCAUCUAAACAAGUACAGUGAAAGCUAUACAGCAAAAGGAACAUAAGUUUCCUGAUUAUCACUAAUUAUUUCACAUUAUUUAUACCACUGGAUAGAGAUGUCUACUUUCAUUAUCAGAAUCGCAUCAUAGGAGUUAGCAUAAGCUAUUUCUUAGUGCCGAUCAUCACCAGGUUUAUGUACUGUUAAUGAGAACAGGACAUGUUUGUUAAUCAGCAGAGGAAGCAGAAUGAGCAUGGGAGAUCAGGAUGUACUUUUUAUUUUUAAAAGGACUCUUGAGAUACAGCAUGAACAUAUGGGACUAAACAGUUUAAGAAAGAUUUGGAACUCAAAAUUUUGUUGGUAUUUGCAAAGGUUUUUCAGAUUUCAAAAAUCCAAAGACAAUAGUUUUUGCAUAGGGAAGAAUUUCUCGACCAGCCAUAGAAUCAAAGGCUUCAUAUGUUUGUGCAGCAUUUUUGCACCCUGCAAACAUGGCAUAUUCACAUCAUUUUUUCUAAUAAAUAUUUUUACUGUGAAAAUUAUUCCAAGCAUAUAAAACAAAGAAGGUAAGGCCAGAUGGGACCACCAUAACCAUUUAAUCUGAGUCUUGCUAAGCAUGUACUUUGCAUACAGAAGUAUGUACUCCACAGUCAUUCCUGACUGGUAAGUAUAUGGAGUAAGCACUACACGUUUCUGACUUUGAAGCUCAAAAUUCCCCUUUGUGAGUAAUUCCUAAGUUUCUGUCUAUGUCUUCUGUGCACCAGCUGAAACACGAAUUUCCUUGAACCCUCUCAGCCGGGUCUGUGCCAGGAUGAAUCACUGAGGAUAUGUGUUCCAGAUAAACUCCUUUUUAUUUUGGACUAGUACAUAGGUUAGCCCUUUUAGCUUCCUCACCAGCCUCUGCUGUGUGUUCAGACUAUCAUCGAUUGGAAUCUACUAGAUCAAAUACAGCCAUUAUCAUAUCUCGCACCCUUUGCAAUAGGUAGUAAAUCUCUCCCAGACCUUCUAUGAAAUCUGGAUUAGGUACUUAGCCUUUUUAGGGGGUUGACAUCUUAUUAUUGGAUAUCUGGCCUUCUGUCAUCUGUCUUUGUUUUCAUUGUUAUUGCACAGCUAUGUUCCUUUCAACAAGUGAUUGAUGCUUAUUAUUAACUGUUCCCCUGUUGAUGCUUUGUUCAGAUUCAGAACUAAUGCAUUUUUAUAUGAGCUUUUAUUGUGGAUUUAGAAGAAUGCAUGUGAAAAUAUAAUCUGAUUUUACUUGCCUCUUGCUGGAUUCUUUUGCUUUUCUUGUGAAAAAAAAAAAAUGAAUAUAAUUCCCAGUAAUGUGUCUAAUUUUUAUUUUAUGUGCAGUGUUAAUGAGUAUGUCUAUUCUUAGUACACGAUCAUAAAUUAUUAUCAACUGUAAAUUCCUUUUUUUCUCCAUUGCCCACUUGUAUCUUUUCAAUUAGCAUAGGACUUUUAAAAAAUGUACUAUUGCAGAAAGCUUUAUUUUAUCAUUAGCAUUUUUCCUUGUUAAUAAAUUCUGAUUAAACUGCUUUCUUGCUGAUUCACUAGCCCAUGUUGUCCUUUUGGAGUUACUCAUCUCAGUUGAAAACUUCUAUUUUUUGCUGGCACCCCAGCAUAUGGCCACAUAACUAUUAAUUUGACAUUCUUUUUUUCUACGUGUUCUGACAUGACAGUACAAUAUUAUUGUAUUAUAUAUAAUUGGAAUAUUAUGCACAUACAUGGACACACACACACACAAUUAUUUAAUGGAAGCAUAGCAAAUCAACGGCCAGAGCUGUGACUGCCUGGCAGUUAUUAACUCACCACAGAUAAGCUGUGCAAAAAAUCCCAGCUGUAAUUGGUAAAUAAAUUCCUAUUCUGGUCACUGUUACAUGACCUAACUGCUACUUGAUGUUCUGUAGGGCUCAGAUUUGACUCAGGUGAGUUUGCCUGCCAUGUAGUGCCUGCUACAGCAGGAUCCAGAGUCAGUUUGGCAUUGGUAAUAGUCCAGGAGAAAUAAUUAAAUCACAUUUUACUACCUAACCAGAUAAAACAUAUAUCACCAUGAAUUAUUCUUACCAUUUCUGACAAAGGUCUCCAUGUGCAUGUGGAACAGUGCUGUUCUCUAAAAUAUAACACAAUGAAAAAAACAACAAUAAACAAACAAACAAACAAACAGCUGAAAGAUUUAAAUCCUUUCCGUACCUAUAAUGACAAUUAGUUCAAAGAGUGGGGGUUUUGUAGUUUUCAACUGGCACCAUUGUAGUUAUGUUUUUAAAAAUACUUAAGUUCAUUAUGCAGCUAGAAUGUGAACUCUGAAUUGGCAUAAAGGUUGUUUUUUUUUUUCUUUUCUUAUAAAAUAUUAAAAUACAAUAUUCCAGCCAUGAUCUUUGCUGUAUUUUAACCUCAU